ensembl:ncRNA F57A8.9 ncRNA
ACUUUCAAAUUGAAUGGAAAAAAAAAUGAGAAAAUGCACAACUUGGGGGCCAAGUGACUAUUGAAUGAUUUUUGGGAAUCGGAUGGAAAUGCUAAUCAAUACUACCAGGGAAAAAAGGGAAGAACCUUUGGAAAUAUCAUGGGGAUUUUCAUCUAAGAAACCCUACGAACAAUAAAUGAUUUCAAGAGAGCAUUUUUUUUUGAAAAUGGUUUUGACAAUUUU